UGGUGGUGAUUUGAAUUUUAACAUGCUUCUGAUUAAUUAAUGAAGUACUAGGUAAACAAUGGUUGAAUUUCUUAAUAUGAGCCA
rfam:Triticum aestivum genome assembly, contig: Triticum_aestivum_CS42_TGACv1_scaffold_344263_4DL